UGAGUAACGCGUGAGGAACCUGGCCUUCCAGAGGGGGACAACAGUUGGAAACGACUGCUAAUACCGCAUGAAACAUUUGAACCGCAUGGUUUGAAUGUCAAAGAUUUAUCGCUGGAAGAUGGCCUCGCGUCUGAUUAGCUAGUAGGCGGGGUAACGGCCCACCUAGGCGACGAUCAGUAGCCGGACUGAGAGGUUGACCGGCCACAUUGGGACUGAGAUACGGCCCAGACUCCUACGGAAGGCAGCAG
rnacentral:rRNA from 1 species